rnacentral:rRNA from 1 species
GAUGAACGCUGGCGGCGUGCCUAAUACAUGCAAGUAGAACGCUGAAGCUUGGUGCUUGCACCGAGCGGAUGAGUUGCGAACGGGUGAGUAACGCGUAGGUAACCUGCCUGGUAGCGGGGGAUAACUAUUGGAAACGAUAGCUAAUACCGCAUAACAGUCGACAUUGCAUGAUGUUGAUUUGAAAGGGGCAAAUGCUCCACUACCAGAUGGACCUGCGUUGUAUUAGCUAGUUGGUGAGGUAACGGCCCACCAAGGCGACGAUACAUAGCCGACCUGAGAGGGUGAUCGGCCACACUGGGACUGAGACACGGCCCAGACUCCUACGGGAGGCAGCAGUAGGGAAUCUUCGGCAAUGGACGGAAGUCUGACCGAGCAACGCCGCGUGAGUGAAGAUAGGUUUUCGGAUCGUAUAAUGCUCUGUUGUAAGAGAAGAUACGAUGUGUGAUGAUGUGGAAAUGUUCACAGCUGUGACGGAACUACCAGAAA